rnacentral:rRNA from 1 species
UACGUAGGUGGCGAGCGUUGUCCGGAAUUACUAGGCGUAAAGGGCAGGCAGGCGGAUCCAUAAGUUUAUCGUUUAAGGCGUCGGCUUAACCGGCGUAGGGCGGUAGAUACUGUGGAUCUGGAAUGCGGUUGGGGAAGACAGAAUUCCUGGUGUAGCGGUGGAAUGCGCAGAGAUCAGGAGGAAUACCGAAGGCGAAGGCAGUCUUCCAAGCCGUUAUUGACGCUCAACUGCGAAGGUGUGGGUAUCAAACAGGAUUAGAUACCCCUGUAGUCCCU